rnacentral:rRNA from 1 species
CACGUAGGGGACGAGCGUUGUCCGGAAUCAUUGGGCGUAAAGCGCGCGUAGGCGGACCUGCAAGUCGGGGGUGAAAGCCCGAGGCUCAACCUCGGAACUGCCUUCGAUACUGCGGGUCUCGAGUCCGGGAGAGGUGAGUGGAAUUCCUAGUGUAGAGGUGAAAUUCGUAGAUAUUAGGAAGAACACCGGUGGCGAAGGCGGCCCACUGGAUCGGUACUGACGCUGAGGUGCGAAAGCGUGGGGAGCAAACAGG